rnacentral:misc_RNA from 1 species
UUAACUUAUUUGUGUUUUACUCAGAGAUGCCACUAUAAUACAUGAGAGUCUGUGACCUCCGGCGGGCGCCCCGGGGGGGGCCGCACCGCCGAAGCAACUUGGACGAGUUCGCGAUUGGUUUGAAGUAGCCUUUCGGCUUCCUGUAAUGAUCCCUCCGCUGGUUCACCAACGGAGA